CCUACGGGUGGCUGCAGUGGGGAAUAUUGGGCAAUGGGCGCAACCCUGACCCAGCAACGCCGCGUGAAGGAUGAAGGCCUUCGGGUUGUAAAGUUCUUUUCUCAGGGACGAAGAAAGUGACGGUACCUUAGGAAUAAGCCUCGGCUAACUACGUGCCAGCAGCCGCGGUAAUACGUAGGAGGCAAGCGUUAUCCGGAUUGACUGGGGGUAAAGGGUGUGUAGGUGGUAUGGCAAGUUAGGAGGGAAACGUAAGGGCUCAACCCUUGAACUGCUAUUGAAACUGGGGGGCUUGAGUGCAGGAGAGGCAAGCGGAAUUCGGAGUGUAGCGGUGAAAUGCGUAGAUAUAGGGAGGAACACCAGUGGCGAAGGCGGAUUGCUGGACAGUAACUGACGCUGAGGCGCGAAAGCGUGGGGAGCAAACAGGAUUAGAUACCCGAGUAGUC
rnacentral:rRNA from 1 species